rnacentral:rRNA from 1 species
AAACGCUUGAAGUCAGUCGCGUUGUUCAAGAAUCAGCCUUGCAAUUCAUUGCUUGGUGUACUUUUUGUUCAACGGGUCAGCAUCAGUUUUGAUCCAUUGGAUAAGGGUCAGGGAAAUGUAGCAUCUUAGGAUGUGUUAUAGCCCUUGGUUAUACAACGGUUGGGAUUGAGGAACUCAGUGCUUGCACUCAGGAUGCUGGCAUAAUGGCUUUAAUCGA